UAGUCUCGCACAGAUGCAUAUCAAUAAGCGGAGGAAAAGAAACUAACAAGGAUUCCCCUAGUAACGGCGAGUGAAGCGGGAAGAGCUCAAAUUUGAAAUCUUAAAGGGUUUCCCUUUACGAAUUGUAGUUUAAAGAAGUGUUUUCUGUUGAGGUUUUGGUAAAAGUUCUUUGGAAUAGGACAUCAUAGAGGGUGAGAAUCCCGUAUUUGACCUUUACUUUCAACUUUGUGAUACACUUUCAAAGAGUCGGAUUGUUUGGGAAUGCAGUCCAAAAUGGGUGGUAAAUUUCAUCUAAAGCUAAAUAUUGGCGAGAGACCGAUAGCGAACAAGUACCGUGAGGGAAAGAUGAAAAGAACUUUGAAAAGAGAGUUAAACAGUACGUGAAAUUGUCAAAAGGGAAGCGUUUGACACCAGUGUUGUUUUUCUGAAAAUCAAUUAAAGAACUGUUUAUGCUAAGCUGUUUAGACUUUAUCAGCUAACUGUUUAGUUUUGAGCUUUUCUUUAAUGCACUUUUCAGUUAACAAGUCAACAUUAAUUUCUUUUGCUGUAAAAAAGCUUGAGGAAGGUGGCUUGAGAUUCGUCUUAAGUGUUUAUAGCCUCUUGCCUAUGCAGUCGGAGAGAUUGAGGUCUGCAGCGUAGAUCCUUCGGGGCUAAAUGCAUUUGUGCUAAGUUAUAGCAUUUUAUAGACAACUUGUCGACUAUGAUUUGUCUUGUAGCUUACUCGCUUAUGUUAUUUUACCUACGCUUAGGAUGUUGAAGACUCUACAGAGAUA
rnacentral:rRNA from 1 species